AUCAACAAGCGGGGGAGCUCCUAGUCCGGGGCUGAGAGGAGGGCGGAAGCCCUCGACCCUUUGAACCUGAUCCGGGUAAUGCCGGCGCAGGGAAGCUUGAAACACAGUAAC
rnacentral:ncRNA from 2 species